UAAUACAUGCAAGUCGAACGAAGUAGCAAUACUUAGUGGCAGACGGGUGAGUAACAUGUAGGUAUCUACCCUUUGGCCUGGAAUAACACGAGGAAACUUGUGCUAAUACCGGAUAAGUCUUUACGGAGAAAGCUUUAUGCACCAUUGGAUGAGCCUGCACUUGAUUAGUUUGUUGGUGGGGUAAUGGCCUACCAAGACUGUGAUCAAUAGCUGAUUUGAGAGGAUGAUCAGCCACAUUGGGACUGAGACACGGCCCAAACUCCUACGGGAGGCAGCAGUAGGGAAUCUUGCACAAUGGAGGAAACUCUGAUGCAGCGAUGCCGCGUGAGUGAAGAAGGCCUUUGGGUUGUAAAGCUCUUUCGUCGGGUUAAGAAAAUGACUGUACCCGAAUAAGAAGGUCCGGCUAACUUCGUGCCAGCAGCCGCGGUAAUACGAAGGGACCUAGCGUAGUUCGGAAUUACUGGGCUUAAAGAGUUCGUAGGUGGUUAAAAAAGUUGGUGGUGAAAGCCCAGAGCUUAACUCUGGAACUGCCAUCAAAACUUUUUAGCUAGAGUAUGAUAGAGGAAAGCAGAAUUUCUAGUGUAGAGGUGAAAUUCGUAGAUAUUAGAAAGAAUACCGAUUGCGAAGGCGGCUUUCUGGAUCAUUACUGACACUGAGGAACGAAAGCAUGGGUAGCGAAGAGGAUUAGAUACCCUCGUAGUCCAUGCCGUAAACGAUGUGUGUUAGACGUUGGAAAUUUAUUUUCAGUGUCGCAGCGAAAGCGAUAAACACACCGCCUGGGGAGUACGACCGCAAGGUUAAAACUCAAAUGAAUUGACGGGGACCCGCACAAGUAGUGGAGCAUGUGGUUUAAUUCGAAGAUACGCGCAGAACCUUACCAACACUUGACAUGUUCGUCGCGACUCUAAGAGAUUAGAGUUCUGUCGCCGACGAAACACAGGUGCUGCAUGGCUGUCGUCAGCUCGUGUCGUGAGAUGUUGGGUUAAGUCCCGCAACGAGCGCAACCCUCACUUUUAGUUGCCAUCAUUAAGUUGGGCACUCUGAAAGAACUGCCAGUGAUAAGCUGGAGGAAGGUGGGGAUGACGUCAAGUCCUCAUGGCCCUUACGUGUUGGGCUACACACGUGCUACAAUGGCGUCUACAACAGGAAGCAAAACGGCAACGUUAAGCAAAUCCCAAAAAGAUGCCUCAGUUCGGAUUGCACUCUGCAACUCGAGUGCAUGAAGCCGGAAUUACUAGUAAUCGUGGAUCAGCGUGCCACGGUGAAUGCGUUCCCGGGUCUUGUACACACCGCCCGUCACACCAUGGGAGUUGGUUCUACCUUAAGGCAAGGUUUUAAACCCUUGACCACGGUAUAGUCAGCGACUGGGGUG
rnacentral:rRNA from 1 species